GACGAACGCUGGCAGCGUGCCUAAUACAUGCAAGUCGAGCGGACAGAAGGGAGCUUGCUCCCGGAAGUUAGCGGCGGACGGGUGAGUAACACGUGGGCAACCUACCCUGUAGAUCGGGAUAACAUCGAGAAAUCGGUGCUAAUACCGGAUAAUCAUUUGAAGUGCAUGCUUCGAAUGUAAAAGAUGGCUCCGGCUAUCACUACGGGAUGGGCCCGCGGCGCAUUAGCUAGUUGGUAAGGUAAUGGCUUACCAAGGCAACGAUGCGUAGCCGACCUGAGAGGGUGAUCGGCCACACUGGGACUGAGACACGGCCCAGACUCCUACGGGAGGCAGCAGUAGGGAAUCUUCCGCAAUGGACAAAAGUCUGACGGAGCAACGCCGCGUGAGUGAUGAAGGUUUUCGGAUCGUAAAGCUCUGUUGUUAGGGAAGAACAAGUGCCGUUUGAAUAAGGCGGCACCUUGACGGUACCUAACCAGAAAGCCACGGCUAACUACGUGCCAGCCGCCGCGGUAAUAC
rnacentral:rRNA from 1 species